AUUUGAGAAAGCCAUCCCUUCGCUCCAUUUGUCACGUCAAAGCCAGUGUAGGGCUGGGGCGCGCCACCUACUGAAGCUUGCAGAUACCUUCUUCCACCGCUGUGACUGGAACACAUGGCCUCCAACGCUCAUGUCUGGAGUCUUAACUCCCAGAGGAUCAGUACUGAGCCAUUUCGUCCUACAGAGAGCACCCCAGGAAACCAGCGGCCCAAGCCUAACCAGAGGUGUUUCAAAUACAGAUGCUUCAUCAAUUCUGACAAACUUUUAAAAAUAAUGAGGACCUGAAGACCCUACCCUUCUCCUGAUUUAGUAGCUCUGUUCCAGGAACCAGGGGGCCAUAAAACCUUUUGGCGUCCCCUUAUCUCCUAGAGCCAUAAAACAAUCCUGUAACUUGCAGUGCAUUCCCCUUUGACAUCCCCCCAUCCCCUGGGGCUCACAGCCUCUGCCUUUAAAUACUCUUUCUCCCAGCCUCUCGGGGUGACACCUCUGUCUCCUGCACGAGAAACGUGUUGGCCCGGAGAUCUCUGUAAUAGGUCUCCGUAAUAAACCUCGCCUUUGCUUAUUACAUCCAAAA